CACAGUUCUCCCAGAAGCAAUAGAAGCAGCAUCUGUGCAUAUAGCUUUUAAGUCUGUAAUUUGUCUGUAAUUUCUCUGCAAUCACCAAUAUUCUGUGGGGCUUCUAGGGUGGUUUUUUAGUGUGUGUUUUCUUUUCCAUUGCAAAGACCCAACUCUCUCUCUGAAAGCCCAUAUGCUCCUGUCCUGUUUGACUUUAGCAUGCAGGAAAUGGCCUCUGUCCAAUUAGCAGCAUGGGAAUUAGCACUGCUCAAAAUUUGCUGCUCCCCACUGUAUUCCCCUCUGAGACUGCUGAACUUCAGUGCUCGAUUUUUUCUCUUUCUCUCUUUUUUAAACAGCAUCACAAAGAUUGACUGCAUAGCAAACUAUUAGAAAAGCACUGUUAAUACUGAAGUCAGAAGGUGCAGCUGUUCAAUUCCUAGUAAUGGUAACAACAGAGGCAUUUCAGCUGCCAACUGCCUGCUGCCUGCUCAGCAGCCGAGGGGGAAGGAUUGGCCUGGUGGGAAAAUGUGUUAUAAUCCUCCUGGAGCAGCUGCCCCAGCUUUCCUGCUUGCUAGUGAAGCCCAGAGGCAAAAGGACCAGUCUUUCCCCUCCCAGGUAGAUGAACACUCCUGAGCAUGAGACAUGGGAAGGGUGGUGAGGCAAAGGCUGUGUUACAUUGGAGGGCUUGGAGACAUGCUGCAGCAGACAAAAGACCCCAUGCAUAGAGAGACCUGCAUGUCUUCUGUGGCCUUUUCCAGACAUUCUGUGGGAUUUCAUGAUGCUGAAUUGUGAGUUAGUCUAACACAGAUCCAGUGAAGAGAAGCUAGGAAGGAACAGAAUUUUUUAUUUUUUUUUGGGUCCAGUUAGUACAGACAGCUGGCUGCUAAUCACCCUCAGUGCUUCUGUAGGAAGAAAACAGUUGGAAGAGGUCCUUGUCCUUCCCAAUGCAUUUCCUCUCUGCUCCUUUCCCUACUGCAGUUUCCUGUCCCCUGCCACAGUUACAUUAAGGCAGCUAUUUCUGGUGUCAUCUAAAACAGACCAGAAGGGUUUUUCUCGUUUUGCUAAUUCCAGCUAUUUCACUGAUUUAGUUUAAAGGGUAUCAGCACACUUAGGAGUGAUAAAUGGGAAGGAGGAGGGAAAGUAACAAAUAGCUGUGGGUGAGAAAAGGCAGAAUCCUUCUUUGGCAGCUUUGCCAUUAGAUAAUUGUGGUGUGGAAAGCACCUUCAGAUGUCCACUGAGAAAUGCAUUGGCAUUUGGGCCCCUAUUCCAAAAAACAUGCUGGAGCAUGCUUCACUGCUGCUCUGUUUCUUCAUUCUUAGUAAAUUGUCAAGUAAACACAUGUCCAAGGCACCCACUGACUAGUCAUUGGGGCUUAGGGAGAGGAGAGGAGAAAAGUAAAUACUGCUAACUCUGUUCUGAUGAAAUGGGCAGAAAAUAGACAGAGCAAUUUGAACAGAAAUAAAAUAUACAGCCUGUGUACCCCUUCA
rnacentral:lncRNA from 1 species